rnacentral:rRNA from 1 species
UACGUAGGGGGCAAGCGUUGUCCGGAUUUAUUGGGCGUAAAGAGCGUGUAGGCGGCUUUACAGGUCCGUUGUGAAAACUCGAGGCUCAACCUCGAGACGCCGGUGGAAACCGUAAGGCUAGAGUCCGGAAGAGGAGAGUGGAAUUCCUGGUGUAGCGGUGAAAUGCGCAGAUAUCAGGAAGAACACCCCUGGCGAAGGCCGGUCUCUGGGACGGUACUGACGCUGAGACGCGAAAGCGUGGGGAGCGAACAGG